CAAGCACAAGCUGCAAACUAACGAGGGUAUGUCAUCCAUCAGAUUUAAGAACACAGGUAUCAGUGUGCACGUGUGCAGGAGUGUGUCUCUGUGACCUACUGUACCUUCAAACAGGGAGGAGAUGUUGGAGCCGAGCAGCCUGAAGAUCUUUGUGGAGUUUAUUAAUCCUCAGAGACUCACACGGCUGGAGCUCAGGACCGUCUCACUCAGAGUCAGAAACAAGGAAGUGUUCCACAGGCUCCACCCCUCUCUCAGUAAACUGUAUCAGAGCCAUUUAUAGACCUCCUCUGUUUGUCCUGUUUGGUUUACAGUAAAGACACAUGUUACUGGACUUUAAUAACACAGUAAUAAAGACUGUUAACGUCCUGGUUUCAUGAAGGUAAA